rnacentral:rRNA from 1 species
GACGUAGGGCGCGAGCGUUGUCCGGAAUUAUUGGGCGUAAAGAGCUCGUAGGCGGUCUGUCGCGUCUGCUGUGAAAACUCAGGGCUUAACCCUGAGCUUGCAGUGGGUACGGGCAGACUAGAGUGCGGUAGGGGAGACUGGAAUUCCUGGUGUAGCGGUGAAAUGCGCAGAUAUCAGGAGGAACACCGGUGGGCGAAGGCGGGUCUCUGGGCCGUAACUGACGCUGGAGGAGCGAA